ACCUGGCUGGCUCAGCUGGUAGAGCACGAGGUUCUUGAUCUUGGGGUCAUGAAUGCAAGGCCCAUGUUGGGUG
rnacentral:tRNA from 1 species